rnacentral:tRNA from 1 species
UCCCUGAUGGUCCAGUGGCUAAGACUCCGUGCUCCCAAUGCAGGGGCCUAGGUUCUGUCCUGGUCAGGGAA